GACAGUUCUCACGUUGACCCAUAAGCUUAUGUUGUGUUCUUUCUUCCAAUCGUCUCCUGACAGGGAAGGACCUAAAGUCCUUUCACUUUCAUCGCCCGCUUAUCCAUUUUGUGAGUGGGUCACUCUGGACUGUCUAGUCUCCUCUUCUUUCCAGACAUUAGUGAGAAGCCACUUUCCAUAUAUUCUGCUUUUUCAGGAGUAAAAACCUGUGCUCUGGUGAUUCUACUCCAGACCAAAUGCAACAUCAAUGUUUUAAAGUGCUAAAGAAAUAGAUGGUGAACAUGAUUGAGGUAAUGCCCGUGGUGAUGAUUUAAUCAUGCAUGGCACCUGAUAUUAUUCAUACCACACAAUAACAAAAAUAUAGUGGUUUUAAAAAGCUCAAUGCUAAUGAUCAUUGAGAUUACGUAUUGUCAAUCCUUGAUUAGUUUUGGCUUGAGAAAUUUUUCAUCCAUCCAUCUAGGUUAUCAAGGGUGUGGCUCUCCUAAAUGUAAAGCCCAAGUGAGUUAUUACAGGAAUAUGCUGCAAACUUUACCUCAAAGAGCUUGUACAUUGAAGGGCUAUAGCAAACUGUAAAUAUCACACGAAACUCUCCCACCACCCAUUAGAACUAGAUCGAGGUUUACAUCAGUAAAUACAAGUGUGUGUUGAUAUUAAGAAUGUGAAUUCUGUCCAAGAGUACUGCAAUAACUAAAUAAAUGAUGCACGUCUCCUUUCUAGCAGAAGCAAAGAAAAAGAAACUAUUUGACUUUCAGCAGCAAAGAACACAAAAUCCAUGUAGUAAUGAACAAGUUAACCAGUGAAUGUUUAAUGGCCAUCCAAUUCUAAACUCAAUUUGCAGGAUGAAUAACAGGCAAUAAGCAGUGUAAGCAGAAACCAUUAUGUAAAGCAGUCUCAGGAACAGUAGUGAAGGCAAAAGCAGUUCUGCCUCUCUUACUAUUGUUUAGGAUCCUGUCAGCUCACCUGACGACACCUAGCUGUCAGCUAUAUGAUCAUUAAAUUGGCAAAAUAGAUCAGUGUAACAGCAUGAUAAGAAGGUAAAUGCCAGCUUGCCUUUCAGGUUACUCUAAUGGCUAUGAUCCUACAUAUAGGGUGGUUGAAUGCAGCCAUGUUCACCUGUAAUUGACGAGUAUCAAGGCACCAUUUAGAUCCUACAAAAGAACCAAAUAGGUUACUAAAGGCGACCAGUGCUCAACUCUUACCACAAGGAAGUGGUACAAGAAUGACAGGGAACCAAUAAGAGGUCUUUCCCUCGAACAAUAUAUAUGUGUGUGUGUGUGUGUGUGUAUUGUUGGGGUCGGGGGUGUAAAAAGAACCCUGAAUCAAAUGAUUGUGCUGUCCAUAAGUGGCAAUAUUCUGUUUCUGUGCUCGCCUGUCUAAAAUAGCCCAUCAGUUUGGAGCAGAAACUUAAAGUUUGAACGAAUCAGCAAAGAGAAGCCGACAGAGCAGCAAGGGAACGUGCACGUGUUGAAUGCCAUACUGCUAAGGUAAAGAAAUGAAAAAGGGGAAAAAAGGAAAUAGGUGCACCAAGACAUGACAAGGCUUUGGUUUCCAGAAGCAUCCUAAGACCCUAUUUUUUUCAUAACUGAUUAAUCAGGCAUGGAGCGAUCAGGCAUUUCACAGUUCAACAAGGAAAACAGAAAUGAAUAUCAAAUGAUAAAUCAUAGAACAGUGGUUUGCCUUGUUCAUGGCCUCACAUACCGAUAGAGAUGCCAAUCAACAUGCCAAUUGGGUGACAGAGUAUGGAGCCUUUAACCGAACAACUGUGAUCUGAUCCUCAAACUUUCCUCGACCUCUUCCCAACAUUGCUGCCGAAGAUGAAAGCCACAUGUAAUAGAGUAAUAUUAAAGCCUCCUUUCCUUCCUAAAAGUAAACAAAUACAUACAUAUAUUAAACAAAUAUAUCAAAAACCAGGUGGUAGAUAGUAUACAAAUGAAAUUAAAUUUAUAACUGGAAGCUUAACUUCAUGGAGAGAAUUUUAGACAUUUCAUCAUGAUGGACUCUAGCAGACCUGGCUUCAUGGUGCAUUCAUGCUCUUGUAACUAGCCAAUAUAUUACGGAGCCUUGUUCUGCAUCUUUUAUGUUCAGCUAGAUUGUUUUCCUCCUUACCCCCGCAACCGCCACAUUUUUUCUGCUGACCAACUCUGGUAGACUGUAACAUGGAUCCUGGCUAGUUGAGCAGCAUUGGUUUCAUGUUUCUAAGAGCUUGCUGCUUCCAUUGCAUACACAUGAAAGGGAAAAAAAGAAGGGGAGGCGGUGGUGGGGAUAGCUUCUCAGUAAUAGUCCAUUCCAAAUAAUGUAACCACACUUUUAAAAAAAAACUUAAAUAUCUAUUUAUGGUUAAGCCUCUAUUAGUGCAGCAAUGAAUCAUUUUACAUUAAAAGAAGGAACAUGAAGAUUGAUAAGUACAGCCCUUCCUUUCAAGCAUCAUUCAAGGAAGGAUAGGAAACAGAGAAAGUAGAAUAGGCAUGAGCAAAUGCAUUUAGAAGAAAGCAGCGAGUAUUUAUCUGUUCUUUAGAGGUUCAACACCAUAUCUUGAACCAAUCUACAUUUUAAAUCUAUUUACAAGUACUCAAAUGUGAUUUGAAGAUACAGCAGACAUCCAUGAUGAUAUGAUUCUAGUACACAAAGAGUUCAAAGAUACAAACUAAGAUGUAACUUUCUGUUGCAGUCAAAGGCUCAUGGCUCAACACGUGAGAUAUUGUCUAUUUUGACCAAUGGUCCAUAGCCCGAGAGUUGUAUGGGCUGUUUUGGACCUCACGAUUUUGCCCCUUCAAAGGCACCUUACGUAGGAAAGAUGGUCCCUUCUUAUGUAAACCAAAUUCCUCCUUGACUCUAACCAAUGUGGGACUAACAGAUCUUUAACGGCUAAACAGCCUAACAGAUCUCUAACGGCCUAAUAGAUCCCUAAUGGCCUAACAAACUUUUUUUAAGAUCUAAGCAAACUCUCUCUAUAUAAAGGGAGACGGUGCUCUCCAGGAGAUAAGUCUGGACUCACAGAGAUAAAAUUCUGCUAAAUUCCUCACUAAAAAAAAUCAGAGUUCUCUCCCUUUUUUUCACUCAAACUCUCAUUUCUUGCUUUCUACUUCCCCAUUUUCACUAUCUGCUCUCCAGGUUCCGGCUAACUUAAGCAUUGGAGGAUCCUAAAUCGGAAGGCAUCCUACGGUUCUGGAACUUCUUUUGCAGAUUUCGUUCGCGGUUCAGAUCGGCUGAACUUCAACUCUCCAGUUUGAUUCAUUACCGACCUCGCCUCCAGAGCCUUGCAGUAACUGAUACUAGAAGGAGGGCAUCACUCUCCAUGGACUGUGGGGCUCCUUCCACCUAAACACCAACACAGACAUGGUCUAUAGAGUACAGAGAUUUCUCGUUGACUGAGGAAGCUAUGUUGUGGUGUAGAAAGAAAGGCAUCAUUAGUCCCACAUUGGUUGAAGUCAAAUGAAAAUCUGGCUUAUAUAGGAAGGGACCAUCCUUCUCACAUAAAACGCCUUUUAAGAGGCAAAACCGUGAGGCUCAAAAUGGCCCAUAUAGCCCCCGAACUAUGAGCCGUAGGCCAAAGUGGACAAUACCUCAUGUGCCGAGCCAUGAGCCCUUAAUGCAACACUUUCUUAUGAUCAUCACAUACUUGGAGGGCUUCUAAGUAUAUUCAAUCUCAAACUGCGCACACAUCUAUUGCAAUCACAUCUCCAUGCCCAAGAAGAAAGUAGGAAAAAAAACCCAUUCAUCAUAGAAGUGGUAAUAUAUUUCUAUGUUCACAACCAAAGAAGAGUCUUUGAACAAAUACUUUAUUUAAUAAUAUUAAUAAUUAAAAAAAAUAUUGACUUCCUGACAGCUCUGGAGUUGGUAAACAGGGGAAUAUAAUGAGUGGAUUUUUUAUAUACCUGUUAUAUUGGGUAUUCAAGUAAGACACAGAUUCACAGAACAUGCCAAUGAGAAUGGUGUCUGUGAAAGCUCCAGCCAGAUCUUUUUCCCUUUUUCCCCUGGUGAGUAAUUUGAAGAAUCAGUAUCAGUGCUACCUGUUAAAGAAAAGCCUUUUUAAGAAAUCAAGAGAGCUCAAAAGAGGGCAAACAUAUUACAAUGUGGAAUAGCAUUACAAGGGCAAGCAAUUCUAGGGAUCAAUGGAAGAUGUGAAUUAUAAACAAGAAUACAAUUCAUUGACUGAUGGAUGCUAUUAAGACCAAGAAUAAUUAAGUAAAUAUUGAAUAAGAAAAUCACUUUAAAUUUUCAUAAAGAUAUAAGAAACUAAGCAGGGGUUGAAAGAAGCUAAUUAUAGAACCAAAAAAACUGAAACUGAUCAAAAGCAAUUAAGCUCCCCCUUCUGACAGUCUUACUCCAAUAAGUAAAAAGCCAGAUUGACCAAUACGCUCCCAAUCCUUGUCCUCCAUAUGGGUCCUUGUCUGGCUCCUGAAUGACUGUGUAUCAUUGGAUUUGUGAAGUGAAGGUAUCACAUAUACUACCUCAAGCUAAUAGCAUACUUAAGAUUAAUGCUAACUUAUUGCUAUAAAAGAAAGAAGAAGUUUUAUGCUAACUCUAGAGAUUCAUGUUAUACAAGACAGCUUUAGCACUACAGUGUCAGGAUAAGCACACAGAAACAUAUAAACUAUAUCAGCAUUUAUAUUGUAAUUUGAGGUGUGAAUAAACACACUAAACUAUAUAGCAAUAUCCCUCACAUCAUAUCCACAUAAAGUGCCUAACCGGCUCAUAGAUGCUAUAGUCAUGCACAAAAUAAAUGCUUGGUUGUUGUGUUUCUAGGCUUCAAUGCAUUCAAAACUCAUCAAAUCAGUUGGAUUGGAGCAAAAGUCACUUCAGCUCUCCCACUCACAAUGAAGAGAAAGCAGGUAAAAUGGGAAGGGAAGGAUGGAAGCCUUUGGCUUGAUUCUGACNN
rnacentral:lncRNA from 1 species